AGCGAACGUUAGCGGCGGGCCUAACACAUGCAAGUCGAACGCGAAAGGUCUUCGGACUGAUUAGAGUGGCGCACGGGUGAGUAACACGUAGGUAAUCUACCCUUUGGCGGGGGAUAACGUUCCGAAAGGGAGCGCUAAUACCGCAUAAGACCACGGAGUCUCCGGACGCUGUGGGAAAAGGUGGCCUCUUCUUGAAAGCUAUCACCGGAGGAUGAGCCUGCGUCCCAUCAGCUAGUUGGUAAGGUAAUGGCUUACCAAGGCAAAGACGGGUAGCUGGUUUGAGAGAAUGAUCAGCCACACUGGCACUGGGAACACGGGCCAGACUCCUACGGGAGGCAGCAGUGAGGAAUAUUGGGCAAUGGGCGAAAGCCUGACCCAGCCACGCCGCGUGAGUGAUGAAGGCCCUCGGGUCGUAAAGCUCUGUGGAGAGGGACGAAAAACCUGGGGUACUAAUAGGCCCGGACUUGACGGUACCUCUUAGCAAGCACCGGCUAACUCUGUGCCAGCAGCCGCGGUAA
rnacentral:rRNA from 1 species